UGGGGAAUUUUGGACAAUGGGCGAAAGCCUGAUCCAGCAAUGCCGCGUGUGUGAAGAAGGCCUUCGGGUUGUAAAGCACUUUUGUCCGGAAAGAAAUCCUCUGGGUUAAUACCUCGGGGGGAGUGACGGUACCGGAAGAAUAAGCACCGGCUAACUACGUGCCAGCAGCCGCGGUAAUACGUAGGGUGCAAGCGUUAAUCGGAAUUACUGGGCGUAAAGCGUGCGCAGGCGGUUUUGUAAGACGGAUGUGAAAUCCCCGGGCUUAACCUGGGAACUGCAUUCGUGACUGCAAGGCUAGAGUAUGGCAGAGGGGGGUAGAAUUCCACGUGUAGCAGUGAAAUGCGUAGAGAUGUGGAGGAAUACCGAUGGCGAAGGCAGCCCCCUGGGCCAAUACUGACGCUCAUGCACGAAAGCGUGGGGAGCAAACAGGAUUAGAUACCCUGGUAGUCCACGCCCUAAACGAUGUCAACUAGUUGUUGGGGGAUUCAUUUCCUUAGUAACGUAGCUAACGCGUGAAGUUGACCGCCUGGGGAGUACGGUCGCAAGGUUAAAACUUAAAGGAAUUGACGGGG
rnacentral:rRNA from 1 species